AAUGCAUGCGGUUACUUUAUUAAAACAUCAUUAAAAAGUUCGCAAUCCAGUACAAGCUUACGAAGAAGCUUCAAAAAUAACAAAAGAAACUACAACCGGCGUAAAAUAGGACCAGAAGCUAUCCACCUAUUCUAUUAUUAGACCGUCAUCCAAACGGAUUGUAGAUAUCUCAAGUUAUCAUCUUCCAUCUAAUAGAUCCAAUAGCCAAAAGCUCUCUAUUCUCCACAAACAGGAGGCGGAAUAAUCGCGGUGACAUUGAUGGUGAAUGACAUUGAUGCUGAACCUGAUUAUAUAACAUGGUGAAUCAAGCAAAAACAGACUAAUUCUUCUUCCUUCCUUCCUUCGUCCAUCCACGCCCAAGGUAGCCAGCCAUGAGGAAGGCACUAGCAGCAGCCACCGCCAAGCCCAAGCCCAAGCCUAGGGCCAGGGGUAAGGCGAAGGCCAGCAACCCUGACUCCAUCUCCGGCGCCUCCUCGGCGUCCAGCGCCAGCAACGGGUUUCCUCUCCCGUCGCACGCGGACGCGGCCUUCUCUCGGCCUCCAAGCCCAAGCCCAGGGACAGGGCGAAGGCCAAGCCCAGGGACAGGGCGAAGGCCAAGACCAAGGGAAAGGCGAAGGCCAGCCCCGACUCCCUCUCCGGCGCCACGUUGACGUCCGCCAGCGCCGGGUCUCCUUCUCCCUCUCCCUUUGCAGUCGGUCGAGGCGGCUUCCUCUCGCCCUCCUCGCUGGUGACGCGAAGACCAUAUCCACCCUCACCGCGGGGGGCAUGUCCACGCCGGCCUCCAUUUCCACCGUCGGCGACCUCAGGGGCCUCGCCACCUUGAGCCUGACUCGCUCAGGAGCCGCCUUGAGCCUGACCCGCUCAGGAGCCGCCUCGACAUGCUCCAAGCCUAUAACGCCCGUGAACUCGAGGCCUCCCUCUUCCGGAUCUCCAAGCGCAUCAAGAUGCAGUCGCAGAGCUGCCUGCAGAUGGUGGACAACGGAGAAGGAGCAUAAAAAUAUGGUCGACAAGGUCUCCCGGUAAGACGAGGACAUAAAGGUAACACUUCUCCUUCUGGUUCGAUACCAUCCAUGUUUGAUCGAGCGUAUCUGAAUUUUGUGUGGAUUUGGACCAUGAAAUUGUGAUCCUACUGUCGUUAUGGAUUCCAUUGCAAGGCAUCGUACAAGAAAUUGGUGACAUAGGUGCAGUCGUCUUUGUCUCGUGGUAUUGCAGUGAUCGAACACAGACAUCUAUAUUCUGAAUUUUACCUCACUUUAGUCUUCAGUUCAAGCCACUAUGGCAGUAGUGUAUCUUUUAAUACUGAUUUGGUUCACAAUGGUCAGUGUGCAAGGUGACCUUACCUGAGAUGGCAAAGUCCAUGGCCAGAGCUAUCGAUGGUCUGCGCAGUUGCUACAACAUCCUAGCUAGAACAGCUUAGCAUACAGUUUCUACUACGUCUAUGAAUUGGUAAUCACUUCUCCUGUUUUGAAGUUGACAUAUGUGUUUGGUCAUGUUCAGUAAAUUUGCAUGAACAUAUGAGUGCCUGUUCAUGAAAUUGAAUUGGCAGAUGUAGUAUCUACCAGGGACAAUAAUUGUUGGUUACAUGUUACCAAAGUGUUGUGGUAACCUCACCGUCAAUCCCUACCUCACCUCUUCCUGCCCUCCCUGCCUCGCUGUGGAUCUUCCGUAUCUCCUGCUGUCGACGCACCCUAUCUUUUCUCCGCCCGAUAGGUACUGGAAUAGUGGAGUUGUACCACUUGCAAGGUAGUUCUGGAUAGAGUUUAUCCAUGGGAAACGCUUCCCAACAGACGUCUGAUACGAAACAUUCUUUAGACUAGCUGGACGCCGUUGAUUUCCUGUUUUGGUCCUAGGGCUGAGAGCCUCAAGUCAUGUGCGAGAAGCCCACUAAUAACCAUGGGUCCACCCUUGUAAUCAAUCUCUCACCUAAUUAAUCAUCCCGAAUCAGCUCUUCCCAUCUCCUGUGCCCGUUCGUGCUAAGGACCAAGGUCGUCAUGCCUGUCGUCGCCCCUGCUCUCUUCCACAGCACAUGUCCCUGACCUGCCCAUCUUCUGCAUCCCAGCCGGCGGCCGUCCAGGGAGGCAAGGACUGGCAGGUA